GGGGGUAGCUUGCUACCUGCCGGCGAGUGGCGAACGGGUGAGUAAUACAUCGGAACGUGCCCUGUAGUGGGGGAUAACUAGUCGAAAGACUAGCUAAUACCGCAUACGACCUGAGGGUGAAAGUGGGGGACCGCAAGGCCUCAUGCUAUAGGAGCGGCCGAUGUCUGAUUAGCUAGUUGGUGGGGUAAAGGCCCACCAAGGCGACGAUCAGUAGCUGGUCUGAGAGGACGAUCAGCCACACUGGGACUGAGACACGGCCCAGACUCCUACGGGAGGCAGCAGUGGGA
rnacentral:rRNA from 1 species